AACGCGAAGAACCUUACCUGGGCUCGAAAUGCAGGAGACCGGGGUAGAAAUAUCCCUUUCUCGCAAGAGACUGCUGUAUAGGUGCUGCAUGGCUGUCGUCAGCUCGUGUCGUGAGAUGUUGGGUUAAGUCCCGCAACGAGCGCAACCCUCAUCCCUAGUUGCCAUCAGGUCAAGCUGGGCACUCUAGUGAAACCGCCCCGGAUAACGGGGAGGAAGGUGGGGAUGACGUCAAGUCCUCAUGGCCUUUAUGUCCAGGGCUACACACGUGCUACAAUGGUCGGUACAAACCGUCGCAAAACUGCAAAGUGGAGCUAAUCGGAAAAAGCCGGCCUCAGUUCGGAUUGGAGUCUGCAACUCGACUCCAUGAAGCUGGAAUCGCUAGUAAUCGCAGAUCAGAACGCUGCGGUGAAUACGUUCCCGGGCCUUGUACACACCGUGUCGA
rnacentral:rRNA from 1 species